GACGAACGCUGGCGGCGUGCUUAACACAUGCAAGUCGAACGGAAAGGCCUGCUUUCCCUUGUGGAUUGCGGGUACUCGAGUGGCGAACGGGUGAGUAACACGUGAGUGAUCUGCCCCCAACUUGGGUAUAAGCCUGGGAAACUGGGUCUAAUUCCCGAUAGGACUGCAGGGUGGUGCCUGUGGUGGAAAACGAUUUUCUAGUGGUUGGGGAUGAGCUCGCGGCCUAUCAGCUUGUUGGUGGGGUAAUGGCCUACCAAGGCGGCGACGGGUAGCCGGCCUGAGAGGGUGGACGGCCACAUUGGGACUGAGAUACGGCCCAGACUCCUACGGGAGGCAGCAGUGGGGAAUAUUGCACAAUGGGCGGAAGCCUGAUGCAGCGACGCCGCGUGGGGGAUGACGGCCUUCGGGUUGUAAACUCCUUUCGACCGCGAGGAAGCCACCUGGUUGGAAGGGUGGUGACGGUAGUGGUAGAAGAAGCACCGGCUAACUACGG
rnacentral:rRNA from 1 species